rnacentral:rRNA from 1 species
CCUACGGGAGGCAGCAGUGAGGAAUAUUGGUCAAUGGACGAGAGUCUGAACCAGCCAAGCAGCGUGAAGGAUGACUGCCCUAUGGGUUGUAAACUUCUUUUAUAUGGGAAUAAACUGUUCCACGUGUGGGCUUUUGUAUGUACCAUAUGAAUAAGGAUCGGCUAACCCCGUUCCAGCAGCCGCGGUAAUACGGAGGUUCCGGGCGUUAUCCGGAUUUAUUGGGUUUAAAGGGAGCGUAGGUGGGUUGUUAAGUCAGUUGGGAAAGUCUGCGGCGCAACCGGAGAAUUGCAGUUGAAACUGGCAGGCUGGAGUGCAGGAGAGGUGGGCGGAAUUCGUGGGGUAGCGGUGAAAUGCUUAGAGAUCAGGAAGAACUCCGAUUGCGAAGGCAGCUCACUGGACUGCAACUGACGCUGAGGCUCGAAAGUGUGGGUAUCAAACAGGAUUAGAUACCCGAGUAGUC